UACAGAGGUCCCGAGCGUUGUUCGGAUUCACUGGGCGUAAAGGGUGCGUAGGUGGUGAGGUAAGUCGGAUGUGAAAUCUCCGGGCUCAACCCGGAAAUGGCAUUGGAAACUACCUUGCUGGAGGAUUUGAGGGGGGAUUGGAAUACUUGGUGUAGCAGUGAAAUGCGUAGAUAUCAAGUGGAACACCAGUGGCGAAGGCGAGUCCCUGGACAAAACCUGACACUGAGGCACGAAAGCUAGGGGAGCAAACAGG
rnacentral:rRNA from 1 species